GUCCUUUUGCGCAUUUUGCCUUUCCUAGUGCUCGAACUUUUGUUCUGAUCCCUUAGUAAAGCAUCCUCAAUUUGCUAUAAAUUGCAUAACCAUUAGCUAUACGAAAAUGAAUCUAAUAGAAAUUCACUCGCAGCAGAAUCUGGGCUAAGCGAACAAGAACUCCAAUAAUAUGUCAUCAAAUCCCAUGAGAUCAUUGUUUGUACUCUUCCUUGCACUCGCUUUUGUGUUGGAGGCAUUACAAGGGGCCGAUGCCAGGAGCUGGCUAAGUUUGAAGGAGCGCUGGCUACUCAAUGGCCCGAGCAUGGGCCUCAAGGCUAGCGCUGGAACUGCCACAGACUCAUCGCAAGGUACUUUGUCAACACCAACAACCACCACGAUAUCUUCUUUUCCAGUGGCCUCCAGCACCUCAACCACGAAGACUGACUCUUCAUCACCAACCGGCAACUCAACUGACGCUAGACCUGGGACUGGAUCCUCCUCUGCCGCCGAUGGCAAUGAAGACAGCACGUUCUGGGGCGGACCAAGCACCUCCACCACACACCACACAUACGUCGACUAUAACCAUCCCAAUCCCAGGAACCACGCGUAGAAAGGGUUGCUGAGUGGUGAUGAUGGAGACUUCGUUGGUUGGUCUUCUUAUCUUAAUCAAACGUGUGUAAAUAUGUGCAUGUUAUAUCCCUAGCUAGGUAGAUAAGGUGGAACAUCUAUCCUCCAAAGAGGCCAAAGGCUUAGAAACAUUAAUUAUGGCCACGUGUAGUGUCUUUUGGUUCCAUGGAAAGUUGGAAUCGUAUUUUCCUGUGGCUGUAAAUGUAUUUGUGCGUAUUUUCUUCGUAUCAUGUCGUGUUUUUCAUCUUUCUCUAUA